rnacentral:rRNA from 1 species
CACUCCUGCGGGAGGCAGCAGUGGGGAAUUUUGGACAAUGGGCGAAAGCCUGAUCCAGCAAUGCCGCGUGAGUGAAGAAGGCCUUCGGGUUGUAAAGCUCUUUUGUCAGGGAAGAAACGGUGAGAGCUAAUAUCUUUUGCUAAUGACGGUACCUGAAGAAUAAGCACCGGCUAACUACGUGCCAGCAGCCGCGGUAAUACGUAGGGUGCAAGCGUUAAUCGGAAUUACUGGGCGUAAAGCGUGCGCAGGCGGUUUUGUAAGUCUGAUGUGAAAUCCCCGGGCUCAACCUGGGAAUUGCAUUGGAGACUGCAAGGCUAGAAUCUGGCAGAGGGGGGUAGAAUUCCACGUGUAGCAGUGAAAUGCGUAGAUAUGUGGAGGAACACCGAUGGCGAAGGCAGCCCCCUGGGUCAAGAUUGACGCUCAUGCACGAAAGCGUGGGGAGCAAACAGGAUUAGAAACCCUUGUAGUCCCAUGA